rnacentral:tRNA from 1 species
GCGGAUAUGGUGGAAUGGUAGACACAACAGACUUAAAAUCUGUUGAGGCUUUGUCCUCGUGCGGGUUCAAGUCCCGCUUUCCGCACCA